rnacentral:rRNA from 1 species
AUAGCUAAUUGCAUCAAUGUCUAAAUAAUUGAUGCAAUAUCGACUCUGUCGAAUAAAAUUCUAGGUAGAAUUAUGAUAAUGACAUUGUCUGCCUAUGUGUCUUGACCAAAUUACGUGCCAGCAGUCGCGGUAAUACGUAGAAGACUAGUGUUAUUCAUCUUUAAUAGGUUUAAAGGGUACCUAGACGGUAAAUCAAGCCUGCAAUAUGGGACUAAUGUACUAGAGUUACUUACGAGGGGGUAUUAAAGUACUGCUGGUGUAGAGAUGAAAUUCUGUCAUACCUUGUUUCAGAAGAAACACUAUGGCACAGGUAUAGGCGAAAGCAUCCCCUUAUGUGAUAACUGACGUUGAAGGACGAAGGCUUUGUGUAGCGAACAGGAUUAGAUACCCCAGUAGUCAAAGCAGAAAAUGAUGAAUGUCAUAGAUUAGACAUAUAAUAGUUUAUUCUAUAAAUGAAAGUGUAAGCAUUCCACCUCAAGAGUAAUUUGGCAACAUUGGAACUGAAAUCAUUAGACCGUUUCUGAAACCAGUAGUGAAGUAUGUUGUUUAAUUUGAUAUUCCGCAAAAAACCUUACCACAAUUUGAAUAUUUACAUUUUUAUUCCCUAUUAUGAUAGAGAAGAGAAAUAUAUUUACAAGCGUUGCACGGCUGUCUUCAGUUAAUGUCGUGAGAUUCUGGUUAGUUCCAUUAAUUAACGUAA